CUCAUCACACCAAGAGUAUUUAAAAUAGACUAAGCACAAAAAUGUAACAUCUUCACCUCAAGAUUUGACUCACAAGUACCACACAUUAUUCACAAUUCACCUACUUACUCUAACAUAGAGGUCACUGACAUUACCCUUCCUUCAUGAAUCAAGUGCCCUCACACAACAAAAGAGAGUGGUUCCACUCAAAUAAAUUUAAGAAUACUUAGGAACUCAAGAUCGAAAGAAUUCACUCACUCUCAGAAAUAACAUUCAUAUGCCACAAAAGAUGCACCAUAGGCUUGCCCGUAGUGUACUACUCCACUAAUCGAGC
rnacentral:lncRNA from 1 species